GGCUCAGAUUGAACGCUGGCGGCAGGCUUAACACAUGCAAGUCGAGCGGAGAGAGGUAGCUUGCUACUGAUCUUAGCGGCGGACGGGUGAGUAAUGCUUAGGAAUCUGCCUAUUAGUGGGGGACAACAUUUCGAAAGGAAUGCUAAUACCGCAUACGUCCUACGGGAGAAAGCAGGGGAUCUUCGGACCUUGCGCUAAUAGAUGAGCCUAAGUCGGAUUAGCUAGUUGGUGGGGUAAAGGCCUACCAAGGCGACGAUCUGUAGCGGGUCUGAGAGGAUGAUCCGCCACACUGGGACUGAGACACGGCCCAGACUCCUACGGGAGGCAGCAGUGGGGAAUAUUGGACAAUGGGCGCAAGCCUGAUCCAGCCAUGCCGCGUGUGUGAAGAAGGCCUUAUGGUUGUAAAGCACUUUAAGCGAGGAGGAGGCUACUUUAGUUAAUACCUAGAGAUAGUGGACGUUACUCGCAGAAUAAGCACCGGCUAACUCUGUGCCAGCAGCCGCGGUAAUACAGAGGGUGCAAGCGUUAAUCGGAUUUACUGGGCGUAAAGCGCGCGUAGGCGGCUAAUUAAGUCAAAUGUGAAAUCCCCGAGCUUAACUUGGGAAUUGCAUUCGAUACUGGUUAGCUAGAGUGUGGGAGAGGAUGGUAGAAUUCCAGGUGUAGCGGUGAAAUGCGUAGAGAUCUGGAGGAAUACCGAUGGCGAAGGCAGCCAUCUGGCCUAACACUGACGCUGAGGUGCGAAAGCAUGGGGAGCAAACAGGAUUAGAUACCCUGGUAGUCCAUGCCGUAAACGAUGUCUACUAGCCGUUGGGGCCUUUGAGGCUUUAGUGGCGCAGCUAACGCGAUAAGUAGACCGCC
rnacentral:rRNA from 1 species